rnacentral:lncRNA from 1 species
AGAAAAAGACUAUGGAUGAAUGGAGUUGUUGGGGUUUACAAUUUCAUCUUAUCCACUCUCUCUUAUCUACUCCUCUUAUUUGAUUCGCUUUGUUAUCUAAUUGUCAUGCAAACUUUCUUAGUCUACCCUUAACCCGAUCCCUCGGCGAAAAGGCCUAUUACUAAUUACUGGCUUGCUAUCCCUAGCCUCCCCUAGUAAUUAAUAAUGCAUAAUAAACGGAAGCCAAAACAAUUGAUCGUCUACCCCCCUAUCCCUAGGUGGCAUUGCUUAAUCAAGGAAUUUCCCACUAGUUCAUGACAGUACCGUGUGUUCCCGUAUCAAUAAAGACAAACAACAAUUAUCAAAUGAGUUAAACGAUAAAAUCAUUA